UUUUUCUUCUUCUUUUUUUUUUUUUCUUUUUCCAUCUUUCUUUCUUUCUUUUUGGUUUAUAGUGAUGCAAACCCCAUUGUGAAUAAUCUCCUAGUUCCUAGUCUAGCUUGGUAAUACAUCCUAUAAAUGUUGUUAUGUUCUAUCUACUUAUAUAUUAAUAGAGUACCUAUAUAGCUUUUAUUGUUUUCCUUUGUCUUUAGUGAAUGUGCCUCUUGGUUUUGAUCAAUGCUGUUUGUUAAUGAAUUGCUUCUGAUGAGUUGUGUUGUCUAUCCAUUUCAUAUAAAAGAUUCAUGCAUGGGUGAUGCACCACCUGGUUGGUCUCUUUGGACAAGCACAUGGGAUGUUGGUGUAGCAGGGUAAAACAACUUUUGGAUCCCAACGUUGGAGUCUCUAAUCAUGGUAGAGGCCAUUAUUUUUCAGCAAAGAUUAAGAUCAGAUCCUAACCCGUCGACAUCAAAGCUGUAAAAGAUAUUGGACGGUGGUGGUUGCACCAAUGAACCUACAACAGACUACCAGACAGUUGAAAAUUGUGUACCGAAGACUUCCCUGAGAAGCACCACAGAAUUAAGAGGUCACUCCAUGACUCGAGCUAUGUAUUAUUUGCUCAAUCAGGCGUGAAGAAGGCUUUCCCUUGAUAUUUCUGAAAGACGACUCAAGUCCUGACUGCAUUUUGAGUGCAAACACUAGGCUGCAAGAAGCUCAUAACAUGACAAGUACAAUUAUGACCAAGUGUCAUUCUAGGGCAAGAGUAAUCCAAGCAGUCACCUUGGUAAAUGUAGGGAAUUUUCAAGAGUUUGUUGAUUUGUUCUAGUGUCAACCAGUUUUGAAUUUUCUGUUUCAGCAUUUAAUAGAAGUUGGUGCUCAAUCUUGGCUAAAUUCCAUAUGUAAGGAUCAUUAUUUGGCAACUACGGCUGACGAUCCACAAGUGGUCACAAGAAUUCAGCUCCAAAUGAGUCCUAGUCAACUUGUUCACCUAAUAUUUGUAUGUGAAACAUGAGUAGAAUAAUUCAUUAUAAAAUUGCUAAGAUAUCAAUCAGAUGUA